rnacentral:rRNA from 1 species
GGACUACUCGGGUAUCUAAUCCUGUUCGAUACCCACGCUUUCGUGCAUCAGCGUCAGUUACGACCCAGCAAGCUGCCUUCGCAAUUGGUGUUCUGUGUAAUAUCUAAGCAUUUCACCGCUACACUACACAUUCCGCCUGCCUUGAACGUACUCAAGACUAACAGUAUCAACGGCAAGUUCCCAGUUAAGCUGAGACAUUUCACCGCUGACUUAUUAACCCGCCUACGCACCCUUUAAACCCAAUAAAUCCGGAUAACGCUCGGAUCCUCCGUAUUACCGCGGCUGCUGGCAC